rnacentral:lncRNA from 1 species
UCAAAAAGUUGGACUAGAAAAAGAAGCAGCAGCUGGACCUGUUGAUGUGACCUAUGCUGAGGUUGUCCUCCAAAAGAAGACCAACGCCAAGAAGAAGAGAGAAACAACAACCCCACCUGAGGCAGAUUCAGUCUAUUCUCAACUGAAGCCAGGCACAACCCCAGGUAAGACUAAUAUCCAUAUGCUAUUGAUACUAAUAUGAUAUUUAUAUGUAACCCUC